CCUAUCUGCCGUGGGCGCUGGAGAAUUGAGGGGGGCUGCUCCUAGUACGAGAGGACCGGAGUGGACGCAUCACUGGUGUUCGGGUUGUCAUGCCAAUGGCACUGCCCGGUAGCUAAAUGCGGAAGAGAUAAGUGCUGAAAGCAUCUAAGCACGAAACUUGCCCCGAGAUGAGUUCUCCCUGAGACUAUAAGUCUCCUGAAGGAACGUUAAAGACGAUGACGUUGAUAGGCCGGGUGUGUAAGCGCAGCGAUGCGUUGAGCUAACCGGUACUAAUGAACCGUGAGGCUUAACCUUACAACGCCGAAGAUGUUUUG
rnacentral:rRNA from 1 species